CUACGGGGCGCUCCAGUGAGGAAUAUUGCACAAUGGGGGGAACCCUGAUGCAGCAACGCCGCGUGGAGGAUGACGCAUUUCGGUGUGUAAACUCCUUUUAUAUGUCAAGAAAAUGACGGUAGCAUAUGAAUAAGCGCCGGCUAACUCCGUGCCAGCAGCCGCGGUAAUACGGAGGGCGCAAGCGUUACUCGGAAUCACUGGGCGUAAAGGACGCGUAGGCGGGUUGAAAAGUCAGGUGUGAAAUCCUACAGCUUAACUGUAGAACUGCACUUGAAACUUCUAAUCUAGAGUAUGGGAGGGGGAGAUGGAAUUAGUGGUGUAGGGGUAAAAUCCGUAGAUAUCACUAGGAAUACCUAAAGCGAAGGCGAUCUCCUGGGACAUUACUGACGCUAAGGCGUGAAAGCGUGGGGAGCAAACAGGAUUAGAUACCCCAGUAGUC
rnacentral:rRNA from 1 species